UACGAAGGUGGCAAGCGUUGUUCGGAUUUACUGGGCGUACAGGGAGCGUAGGCGGUUGGAUAAGCCCUCCGUGAAAUCUCCAGGCUUAACCUGGGAAUUGCAGUCGAUACUACUCAGCUAGGGUAUGGGAGAGGGCAGUGGAAUUCCCGGUGUAGCGGUGAAAUGCGUAGAUAUCGGGAGGAACAUCAGUGGCGAAGGCGGCUGCCUGGCCCAAUACUGACACUCAGGUGCGACAGCGUGGGGAGCAAACAGG
rnacentral:rRNA from 1 species